rnacentral:rRNA from 1 species
GACGAACGCUGGCGGCGUGCCUAACACAUGCAAGUCGAACGAGGUCCAUCCUUCGGGAGAAGACCUAGUGGCGAACGGGUGAGUAACACGUGAAGAACCUGCCCCGAAGACCGGGAUAACCCUCCGAAAGGAGAGCUAAUACCGGAUACCCCCACCGAACCGCAUGGUUUGGUGAGGAAAUGGAUUCCGCUUCGGGAGGGCUUCGCGGCCUAUCAGCUAGUUGGUGGGGUAACGGCCCACCAAGGCAUCGACGGGUAGCUGGUCUGAGAGGACGAUCAGCCACACUGGGACUGAGACACGGCCCAGACUCCUACGGGAGGCAGCAGUGGGGGAAUCUUGCGCAAUGGGCGAAAGCCUGACGCAGCAACGCCGCGUGGGGGAUGAAGGCUCUCGGGUUGUAAACCCCUUUCAGCAGGGACGAAUCAAGACGGUACCUGCAGAAGAAGCCCCGGCUAACUACGUGCCAGCAGCCGCGGUAAU